GACGAACGCUGGCGGCGUGCUUAACACAUGCAAGUCGAACGGAAAGGCCCUGCUUUUGUGGGGUGCUCGAGUGGCGAACGGGUGAGUAACACGUGAGUAACCUGCCCUUGACUUUGGGAUAACUUCAGGAAACUGGGGCUAAUACCGGAUAGGAGCUCCUGCUGCAUGGUGGGGGUUGGAAAGUUUCGGCGGUUGGGGAUGGACUCGCGGCUUAUCAGCUUGUUGGUGGGGUAGUGGCUUACCAAGGCUUUGACGGGUAGCCGGCCUGAGAGGGUAACCGGCCACAUUGGGACUGAGAUACGGCCCAGACUCCUACGGGAGGCAGCAGUGGGGAAUAUUGCACAAUGGGCGGAAGCCUGAUGCAGCAACGCCGCGUGCGGGAUGACGGCCUUCGGGUUGUAAACCGCUUUCGCCUGUGACGAAGCGUGAGUGACGGUAAUGGGUAAAGAAGCACCGGCUAGCUACGUG
rnacentral:rRNA from 1 species